rnacentral:rRNA from 1 species
UCCGUAGGUGGCAAGCGUUAUCCGGAAUUAUUGGGCGUAAAGCGCGCGCAGGCGGUUUCUUAAGUCUGAUGUGAAAGCCCACGGCUCAACCGUGGAGGGUCAUUGGAAACUGGGGAACUUGAGUGCAGAAGAGAAAAGCGGAAUUCCACGUGUAGCGGUGAAAUGCGUAGAGAUGUGGAGGAACACCAGUGGCGAAGGCGGCUUUUUGGUCUGUAACUGACGCUGAGGCGCGAAAGCGUGGGGAGCAAACAGG